GCUUGUGCAAAGGAAUCAAGGUCCUUGACAAAAAGAUCUUAUGCUCCUCUUUCAAUGGCAGAGCGAACCCUGUAACCACACUUCCAAAUAUCUCCAAAAGUUCAGCAAUCCCAUUAUGUUUCUCCGAUUCGAACACAACACGGUAAAACACAUUGCUUAUACUCUUCCUUAUAUAAGGCCUGUGAACCAUGAACUUGCCAUAAAUCCUAUGCAAAAUAGCUUUCAAACAAUCUCUUUCCCUUGGAUCUUCAGAAUCAAACAAGUCAAGUAAUUUCAAGAUGAACUGAUGGUUUAUAUACUUCUUUGCAACCU
rnacentral:misc_RNA from 1 species